rnacentral:rRNA from 1 species
UGAGGAACAUGACCUUCGGCGGGGGAUAGCCGGCCCAACGGCCGGGUAAUACCGCGUACGACCACAUGGGGACAUCCCUGAGUGGUGAAAGCAGCAAUGCGCCGAUGGAGUGCCUCGCGGCCUAUCAGCUAGUUGGUGAGGUAACGGCUCACCAAGGCAACGACGGGUAGCUGGUCUGAGAGGAUGGCCAGCCANAGUUGGAACUGACGACACGGUCCAGACCUCUACGGGGAGG